rnacentral:rRNA from 1 species
AAGCAUAUCAAUAAGCGGAGGAAAAGAAACUAACAAGGAUUCCCCUAGUAACUGCGAGUGAAGCGGGAAGAGCUCAAAUUUAAAAUCUGACGUGCCUCUGGUCGUCCGAGUUGUAGUCUGGAGAAGCGUUUUCCGUGUUGGACCGUGUAUAAGUCUCUUGGAACAGGGCGUCAUAGAGGGUGAGAAUCCCGUCUUUGACACGGACUACCAAUGCUUUGUGAUGCGCUCUCAAAGAGUCGAGUUGUUUGGGAAUGCAGCUCAAAAUGGGUGGUAAAUUCCAUCUAAAGCUAAAUAUAGGCGAGAGACCGAUAGCGAACAAGUACCGUGAGGGAAAGAUGAAAAGCACUUUGGAAAGAGAGUUAAACAGUACGUGAAAUUGCUGAAAGGGAAACGCUUGAAGUCAGUCAUGUCUGCCAGGACUCAGCCUUGCUUCUGCUUGGUGUACUUUCUGGUUUGAUGGGCCAACAUCAAUUUUGACCGUUGGAAAAAGGCUUUGGGAAUGUGGCACCUUUGGGUGUGUUAUAGCCCUUUGUUGUAUACGACGGUUGGGAUUGAGGACCGCAGCACGCCUUCAUGGCCGGGGUUCGCCCACGUACGUGCUUAGGAUGUUGGCAUAAUGGCUUUAAGCGACCCGU